GCCCCUAUAGCGCAAUGGAUAGCGCGUUGGACUUCUAAUCCAAAGAUCUUAAGUUCGAAUCUUAACCAGGAUA